UACGUAGGGUGCAAGCGUUAAUCGGAAUUACUGGGCGUAAAGGGUGCGUAGGCGGCUUUUUAAGUUUGGUGUGAAAUCUCCCGGCUCAACUGGGAGGGUGCGCCGAAUACUGAGAGGCUAGAGUGCGGGAGAGGAAAGUGGAAUUCCUGGUGUAGCGGUGAAAUGCGUAGAUAUCAGGAGGAACACCGGUGGUGUAAACGGCUUUCUGGACCGUAACUGACGCUGAGGCACGAAAGCGUGGGUAGCAAACAGG
rnacentral:rRNA from 1 species